rnacentral:rRNA from 1 species
UACGUAGGCAGCGAGCGUUGUUCGGAGUUACUGGGCGUAAAGAGUGCGUAGGCGGCAAUUCAAGUCAGCUGUGAAAUCUCCGGGCUUAACUCGGAACGGUCAGCUGAUACUGUUUUGCUAGAGUGCAGAAGGGGCAAUCGGAAUUCUCGGUGUAGCGGUGAAAUGCGUAGAUAUCGAGAGGAACACCUGAGGUGAAGACGGGUUGCUGGGCUGACACUGACGCUGAUGCGCGAAAGCCAGGGUAGCAAACAGG